rnacentral:rRNA from 1 species
GAUGAACGCUGGCGGCGUGCCUAAUACAUGCAAGUCGAGCGAACGGACGAGAAGCUUGCUUCUCUGAUGUUAGCGGCGGACGGGUGAGUAACACGUGGAUAACCUACCUAUAAGACUGGGAUAACUUCGGGAAACCGGAGCUAAUACCGGAUAAUAUUUUGAACCGCAUGGUUCAAAAGUGAAAGACGGUCUUGCUGUCACUUAUAGAUGGAUCCGCGCUGCAUUAGCUAGUUGGUAAGGUAACGGCUUACCAAGGCAACGAUGCAUAGCCGACCUGAGAGGGUGAUCGGCCACACUGGAACUGAGACACGGUCAAGACUCCUACGGGAGGCAGCAGUAAGGAAUCUUCCGCAAUGGGCGAAAGCCUGACGGAGCAACGCCGCGUGAGUGAUGAAGGUCUUCGGAUCGUAAAACUCUGUUAUUAGGGAAGAACAUAUGUGUAAGUAACUGUGCACAUCUUGACGGUACCUAAUCAGAAAGCCACGGCUAACUACGUG